rnacentral:snRNA from 1 species
GUGGGUUCAGACAGCACAUAUACUAAAAUUGGAACUAUACAGAUAAGAUGAGCAUGGCCCC